CCCUCCCCCUGCCCUACUUUUAUUUUCACUCAGUUAUGUGCCACUAUGUUUCCACAUAAAUUUCUCAUGCUACCAAUUAUUUUUUUCUAUAGUUUUGCACGGAUGUGAAUGGUGCCAUGUUAACUGUGGAUGAAACCAAAUGGUUGUUAUAGUCAAAAUAUAAUAUGGUUAUAUUACUGUUCAUCUCAUGCAAAUGGAUAGGAGCUUCUGG